UUAAACUGCACUAUUAGAUCACCAUGUGAGACAUAUCAACUCAGUGCUUCAGUGGAGGUGAAACUCAGUCCUCGUGGUCCUCGUCAUCUUUUCUCUGUUUUCUUGUGAAAAAGCCCAGCUGGAAGAAAGAUAGGAGAAGAACCACUGGGAGUGUACUCUCAGUGCCGGUCCCAAGACUGGAUAAAAUUGGGGAGGGUUGUGUCCGGAAGGGCUUCCGGCGUAAAACCUGUGCCAAAUCAAAACAUGCAGACCGAUGAUCCGCUGUGGCAACCCCUAAUGGGAGCAGCCGAAGAACAACAACAACAUCUGAACUAUGUUUGCGCAGUUGCUGAAUUUGACACACGACCUCCACACACCAAGAAGAGCUGCAGUUCUGCACGCACAUAUUUAAUACCCAUAUAUAUUUAACAUGUGAAUACAACAUAUUUAACAUAGCAUCAUGUUUAUAUAAAAAUAUGUGGUUCCCUGUAUUUGACCAUAUCACAUGUGAAGCGUUUAGGGGUGAAUAAAUAAGUUAAAGCUU